rnacentral:tRNA from 1 species
UACCUAUUAGCUCAGUUGGUUAGAGCGUCGUGCUAAUAACACAAAGGUCGCAUGUUUGAGACCUACAUGGGUCA